GCUAGCGGCAGGCUUAAUACAUGCAAGUCGAGGGGCAGCGCAGUGUAGCAAUACAUGGGCGGCGACCGGCAAACGGGUGCGGAACACGUACACAACCUUCCUUUAAGUGGGGAAUAGCCCAGGGAAACUUGGAUUAAUACCCCGUAAUAUUAUGGAGUGGCAUCACUUUAUAAUUAUAGCUCCGGCGCUUGAAGAUGGGUGUGCGGCUGAUUAGGUAGUUGGCGGGGUAACGGCCCACCAAGCCUUCGAUCAGUAACUGGUGUGAGAGCACGACCAGUCACACGGGCACUGAGACACGGGCCCGACUCCUACGGGAGGCAGCAGUAAGGAAUAUUGGGCAAUGGACGCAAGUCUGACCCAGCCAUGCCGCGUGGAGGAUGAAGGUCCUCUGGAUUGUAAACUUCUUUUCUCUGGGGCGAAAAAAGGAUAUUCUUAUCCUCCUGACAGUACCAGAGGAAUAAGCACCGGCUAACUCCGUGCCAGCAGCCGCGGUAAUACGGAGGGUGCAAGCGUUAUCCGGAUUCACUGGGUUUAAAGGGUGCGUAGGUGGGCAGGUAAGUCAGCGGUGAAAUCCCCGAGCUUAACUUGGGAACUGCCAUUGAUACUAUCUGUCUUGAAUACCUUGGAGGUGAGCGGAAUAUGUCAUGUAGCGGUGAAAUGCUUAGAUAUGACAUAGAGCACCA
rnacentral:rRNA from 1 species